rnacentral:rRNA from 1 species
GAAGUUUUGAAUCCUGGCUCAGGACGAACGCUGGCGGCGUGCUUAACACAUGCAAGUCGAACGAUGAAGCCUAGCUUGCUAGGUGGAUUAGUGGCGAACGGGUUGAGUAAUACGUGAGCGACCUACCUUUGACUCUGGGAUAAGCCUGGGAAACUGGGUCUAAUACCGGAUACGACCAAUCUCCGCAUGGGGUGUUGGUGGAAAGCGUUAUGGAGUGGUUUUAGAUGGGCUCACGGCCUAUCAGCUUGUUGGUGAGGUAAUGGCUUACCAAGGCGACGACGGGUAGCCGGCCUGAGAGGGUGACCGGCCACACUGGGACUGAGACACGGCCCAGACUCCUACGGGAGGCAGCAGUGGGGAAUAUUGCACAAUGGGCGCAAGCCUGAUGCAGCGACGCCGCGUGAGGGAUGACGGCCUUCGGGUUGUAAACCUCUGUUAGCAUCGAAGAAGCGAAAGUGACGGUAGGUGCAGAGAAAGCGCCGGCUAACUACGUGCCAGCAGCCGCGGUAAUACGUAGGGCGCGAGCGUUGUCCGGAAUUAUUGGGCGUAAAGAGCUUGUAGGCGGUUGGUCGCGUCUGCUGUGAAAGGCUGGGGCUUAACCCUGGUUUUGCAGUGGGUACGGGCUAACUAGAGUGCAGUAGGGGAGACUGGAAUUCCUGGUGUAGCGGUGGAAUGCGCAGAUAUCAGGAGGAACACCGAUGGCGAAGGCAGGUCUCUGGGCUGUAACUGACGCUGAGAAGCGAAAGCAUGGGGAGCGAACAGGAUUAGAUACCCUGGUAGUCCAUGCCGUAAACGUUGGGCACUAGGUGUGGGGGACAUUCCACGUUUUCCGCGCCGUAGCUAACGCAUUAAGUGCCCCGCCCUGGGGAGUACGGCCGCAAGGCUAAAACUCAAAGAAAUUGACGGGGGCCCGCACAAGCGGCGGAGCAUGCGGAUUAAUUCGAUGCAACGCGAAGAACCUUACCAAGGCUUGACAUAUACUGGACUGCGUCAGAGAUGGCGUUUCCCUUCGGGGCUGGUAUACAGGUGGUGCAUGGUUGUCGUCAGCUCGUGUCGUGAGAUGUUGGGUUAAGUCCCGCAACGAGCGCAACCCUCGUUCUAUGUUGCCAGCACGUGAUGGUGGGGACUCAUAGGAGACUGCCGGGGUCAAACUCGGAGGAAGGUGGGGAUGACGUCAAAUCAUCAUGCCCCUUAUGUCUUGGGCUUCACGCAUGCUACAAUGGCCGGUACAGAGGGUUGCGAUACUGUGAGGUGGAGCUAAUCCCUAAAAGCCGGUCUCAGUUCGGAUUGGGGUCUGCAAACUCGACCCCUUGAAGUCGGAGUCGCUAGUAAUCGCGGAUCAGCAAACGCUGCGGUAAAUACGUUCCCGGGCCUUG